ensembl:snRNA U6 U6 spliceosomal RNA
GUGAUCGCUUCGAUAGUACAUAUACCAAAACUGCAAUGAUACAAAGAAGAUUAGCAUGGCUCUGAUGCAAGGAUGUCAUGAAAAUUUGCGAAGUGUUCCAUAUAAAA